rnacentral:rRNA from 1 species
CCAGCAGCCGCGGUAAUUCCAGCUCCAAUAGCGUAUAUUAAAGUUGUUGCAGUUAAAAAGCUCGUAGUUGGACCUCGGGGAGAGGCGCAUGGUCCGCCGAAAGGUGUGCACUAGGCGGCUCUCUCCUCCUUCUGUAGACCAUGUCUGUCCUUAGUUGGGUGGGCAUUGGGAUGCAGGACAUUUACUUUGAAUAAAUUAGAGUGUUCAAAGCAGGCGAUUGCUUGAAUACGUUAGCAUGGAAUAAUGAAAUAGGACUUUGGUUCUAUUUUGUUGGUUUCUAGGACCGAAGUAAUGAUUAAUAGGGAUAGUUGGGGGCAUUAAUAUUUAAUUGUCAGAGGUGAAAUUCUUGGAUUUAUGAAAGAUUAACUUCUGCGAAAGCAUUUGCCAA